rnacentral:rRNA from 1 species
UGACCUACGGGGGGCUGCAGUAGGGAAUAUUGCACAAUGGGCGAAAGCCUGAUGCAGCAACGCCGCGUGCGCGAUGAAGGUCUUCGGAUCGUAAAGCGCUUUUCUGGGAGAUGAGAAAGGACAGUAUCCCAGGAAUAAGUCUCGGCUAACUACGUGCCAGCAGCCGCGGUAACACGUAGGAGGCGAGCGUUAUCCGGAUUCACUGGGCGUAAAGCGCGUGCAGGCGGUUCGGUAAGUUGGGCGUGAAAUCUCCCGGCUCAACUGGGAGAGGUCGUUCAAUACUACCGAACUUGAGAGCGAUAGAGGAAAAUGGAAUUCCCGGUGUAGUGGUGAAAUGCGUAGAUAUCGGGAGGAACACCAGUGGCGAAAGCGAUUUUCUGGAUCGUUUCUGACGCUCAGACGCGAAAGCUAGGGUAGCAAACGGGAUUAGAUACCCCUGUAGUCU